rnacentral:tRNA from 1 species
UUUCGUCUGGCAGAAUUAAUGCGAAUGAUUUAGGUUCAUUUUAUGGAGAAUAAUCUUCGGCGGAGU